CAGCAGCCGCGGUAAUACGUAGGUGGCGAGCGUUGUCCGGAUUUAUUGGGCGUAAAGGGAGUGUAGGCGGUCUUUUAAGUCUGAUGUGAAAGCCCACGGCUCAACCGGGGAGGGUCAUUGGAAACUGGGAAACUUGAGUGCAGAAGAGGAGAGUGGAAUUCCACGUGUAGCGGUGAAAUGCGUAGAGAUGUGGAGGAACACCAGUGGCGAAGGCGACUCUCUGGUCUGUGACUGACGCUGAGGAGCGAAAGCGUGGGGAGCGAACAGGAUUAGAUACCCCAGUAGUCCCUGUCUCUUAUAA
rnacentral:rRNA from 1 species